CUUGAUUAAGGAUGGCUUCCAUUCGUGGGCCGUGAACGCGCACCGCUCGCCAGCCCAUGGCUGCAGGAAAGCGCGAUGACACUGGACUCAGCUGCUUAUCAGCUUCCUCAUUUUAAGUGCUCUGUAAGCCAUCUCUUGGUCCCGGUUCUCGAUCUCCUUCUUGAGCACAGGACAGCUGUGACAAACGGACCUCACCUCUCCGCUUCUGCCACCAGCUGUAGCGCCAGCUGCGUUGGCGCCCUCCUGCAAGCUGCUGCCGUGAACGUCC